rnacentral:tRNA from 2 species
GGACCCGUGGGUUAGCUUGGCUAUGCUCGAUGCUUUGGGAGCAUCAGACCUCAGUUCAAAUCUGAGCGGGUCCAC